AUGCAUACGGGUUCAGUGCAAUGGUUUUCUGCUUCCUCAUCGACAGUGAUUAUCCGAAACCUGGUACUGUUCCUAACUGUUAUCCUCUACUUUUAUUUGUUCAUGUUGUCUCAACAAACUGACUUGUGCUUAUGGCGACUUGUUUAUGUGUCCAUGGAUCAGAGAGGAUGGAUGAUGCAGUGGUCACAUCAAGCGCCAAGUGCUCGACGUCUCCGGCCGGGUAGAAGACAUCAUGGUCAACAACAGCGACAAGACACCUUCAUGCAACAUUGCAUCGAUGCACAGCACACUUUGUGUCAGCAAUCAAAGAUUUGA
rnacentral:rRNA from 1 species